AAAAGAAAUUGCCCGAACGUUUUUGCUCGGAAAUUGCCCGAAUCGGAAUUCACCCGAAUGUCUGCAGAACGGAAUCUGCCCGAAUUCUCGAGAGCAAUAUGCCCGAAUCUGCGCAGAAAUUGCCCGAAUCGGAAGGUACCCGAAUUCGAUCGGAAAUUCUCAUUUUUCGAAUUCCUCCAAAUUCUUCCGAGGCACACACUCUCUCUCUCUGUCUCUAAUUUUUCGGUUGGCAUUUCUCAUUUUUCGAAUUCCUGUAAAUUCUUCGGAGGCACACACUCUCUAUCUCUCUCUCUACUUUUUCGGUUGGCGUUUCUCAUUUUUCGAAUUCCUCCAAAUUCUUCGGAGUCACACUCUUCUCUCUACUUUUUCUAUCAUCAGCAUUCAGUCCGGCCUGUCGAGGCGAUUGAGAAACAUGAGUGCGAUUCCCGGGAAGCAUUUCAAGUCGCGAGUUCUCAUUUAUAAUAAUUAUGUGUUCCAUCGUAACAAAGAAGUGCAAAAAACUGGAACAGUGUAUUAUACGUGUCGCUUGAAGAAUUGCCAUGCCACGGGAGUCAAGAAAGCUGGAGGAGAUUUUCGACAAACCCAAGCCCACAAUGGACACCAGCCUUGCGCCGAAGAAGAGUUGAAAAGCCUUUUUGUGGAGCGUUUGAAGGAGUGUGCCAUGAACAGCACAAUGUCUUUGAAAGACAUUUACAACGAAGUGUCCCAGAGUGCUGAUUUUCGAGUCGUAGCGCCACUAGUUGUACUUGUAACCCCAUUAGAUACUGGUUGCGCGAAGAGGGUCCUGAAAACUUCUCAGUUCAUGAUCGUCGUCACAGGACUAAUAAUUCAAUUGAAUCCUUUCACUCUGCUCUCAUGAGAUAUAUCCAAUGUUCCCAUCCAAAUAUAUUUGUCUUUAUAGAGAAGCUCAAGCUGCUCUCAGCCGCGUCUGCAACAGAUCUCGCUACUGUUAGGAUGGGAAACAAAACCACCCGGAGCAGAAAGUUAAAAUACUUGAUAAUGGACGCGAGGAUCCACAGGGCUACCAGUAGACUGGAGAACAAAACGAUCUCUAUUGGAGAAUUUCUUCUUAUAGCUUGCAACAUGUCUUACAACCCUCAGCGACAUGUUGCAUCAGCAACAGCACCUGCUGUUCAGCGCCCAACAAUGACUGCAAGGAGGCGUAGAGGAGCACCCCAACCACGCGCUCAGCAGAUAGAUUCAGACUCUGUUUAAAUCCUAAUCCCAACUCCCAACUAUGUACUCAUUUGCUACUUGUUCAUUAAAGAACCAAUUUUUGUUCACGCAUUGAAAAGCUAAGUCUAGUUUCAGUCUCAUUUCGGGCUAUUUCCGCAAAAAAUUCGGGCAUUUUCCUUCCUGCUUUCAAAGUCUUCGGGCAACUUCCUUCGGGGAAGUUCUUUCGGGCUAUUUCCGGUUCGGGCAAUUUCCGCGAGAUGCGUUCGGGCAAUUUCUUUUCGGGCCAUUUGAGGCGACCCCUUUCAAGAACCUUUGGAAAUAAAUUAUACUUUUAUCUAAUCUCAGCAAACCUCUAUGAGGAUCUUCAAUAAAUCGUUGUUUCACUUCGAGGUUUUUUUUUACCAGGUUUUAAAUUAACUUGACGUACAUAAAUUAAGAAUGUGUAUCAAAGCCAAAAAAUGGUAUCAGCAGGAAAUUGAUUUCAAUGCGGUCUGACGUGCUGUAUUGCAAUUGAAUCCUGAAAUUGCGAAGUAGUUCUUUGGUAAUUAUUUUCUUUUAGAAUUAUAAAAACCUCUCACAAAAACUCGUCAUGGUGAGGCCGUUUGCAAUUCGAAUUCUAAAUAAAAAUUAAUCCUCUUUAAACCAUACUUCGUCAGUUUUUGAUUGCUUGAUAUUCUCGGAAUAUUGAAUUAAAAAAAAAAAGAAGAAUGUGGAAGGUUUUGUAAAAAUAAAAAAUAUUUUUUCAAAUUGAAUCUGGCUGGGUAAUUAUUUCUUAUGCGCUUGUGAAGAGGAAAUUCAAAUAGAAAAUUUUUUUGAACAUGAAAGCAAAUCCAAUGCUACUUCAAAAAUUGUCGUUAUUGAAUUGCGAUAUUAAAAAGUUUUUGAAUGUUGGUGAUUUUUUGAACACUUAUUUAAAAAUAUGACAAAAUCAAUAUUAUGAGGUUUUCUCAAAAAAGGAAUUUUUUUUUUAAACAAAA